rnacentral:rRNA from 1 species
UACGAAGGGUGCAAGCGUUACUCGGAAUUACUGGGCGUAAAGCGUGCGUAGGCGGUUUGUUAAGUCCGCUGUGAAAGCCCUGGGCUCAACCUGGGAAUUGCAGUGGAUACUGGCAAGCUAGAGUGCGGUAGAGGAUGGUGGAAUUCCCGGUGUAGCGGUGAAAUGCGUAGAGAUCGGGAGGAACACCCGUGGCGAAGGCGGCCAUCUGGACCAGCACUGACACUGAGGCACGAAAGCGUGGGGAGCAAACAGG